UGGUGACUAUAGCAAGGAGGUCACACCUGUUCCCAUGCCGAACACAGAAGUUAAGCUCCUUAGCGUCGAUGGUAGUCGAACUUGUAGAACGUUGCCAGGCA
rnacentral:rRNA from 1 species